GGGAGUGGCUGUAAAGUACUCUCUGAUUGAUAUCAUUGAUUUUCUAGUCGUAGUUUAGUUUUUAUUUUCUGUACAUAGUUUAUUUUCAUUUUUCUUUUAGAUUUCUUUUAGUUCCUUUUUACGUAGCUUGUUUGAUUAUCUUUAGGUACCUUAGUUUGAAGAACGCAGGUGGAAUCUCUCCAAAACAUGCAGAAAACUAAGUCUUUCGCGAAGCUUUGCAAGUUUGGAAGAAAGUGUGAGUUUGUUUAUUCAGGCUACUCAAAGAUCUAUGGCGAACUUAGAGCAAGAACUAGAUCAUAUUACUAUCCAGUUGAGUGAGCGAGACAAGGAUCAGUCCCCGAGUCAAAUACAGCUUGACCCCAAGGGUUCAGUUGAAGUAAGCACAUUUGGUGGCAAGCCGACCCAUCGUGUCCAGGCUGUCACUACUCUCAGAAGUGGACAGGUCAUUGAUAUUCAUGUUAGUGAUGCCGAGAAGAAUGUGCAAGGUAGGAACCUGCCUACCACACAUGUUACUCCUUCAACACAAAAAGAAACCAAUGAGAGCGAGAAAGGUAAAUCUGAAAUUUCUUAUGUUCCUCGUGCUCAUUUUCCUCAAGCAUUACUACCUCUUAAGAAGGGAGCUAGCCCUAAUGACAUCAUAGAAGUGUUUGAAUAGGUUAAAGUCAACAUUCCCCUAUUAGAUGCCAUUAAACAAAUUCCUUCUUAUGCUAAGUUUCUGAGAGAUAUGUGGACUGUGAAACGAAAAUUGAAUGUACAUAAGAAAGCUUUCCUUACUGAACAGGUAAGCUCGAUUAUUACACAGAAAACUCCACACAAAUUUAAAGAUCCAAGUUGUCCUACGAUUGCUUGCACCAUAAGAGAACAUAUGAUUGAACAUGCAUUGUUAUAUCUAGGGGCCAGUGUGAAUCUCUUUCCAUACUAUGUGUAUGUGCAAUUAGAACUUGGUGAUUUGAAAACCCCACUAAUGUCACUCUCCAAUUGGCUGAUAGGUCAAUUAAAAUUCCUAGGGGAGUGGUAGAGGAUAUUCUUAUACAGGUUGAAAGUUUUGUUUAUCCAGUUGAUUUUAUUGUUUUACACACUCAACCUGUUUCUAAUCCUAGUGGCAGAUUCUUGUCAUCUUAGGUAGACCUUUUUUGGCUACCUCGAAUGCGGUUAUCAACUAUCGCAAUGGAAUCAUGGAGCUUACUUUUGGAAAUAUGAAAAUGGAGAUAAAUGUGUUUAGCCUUUCAAAUUCGUCUGCGAUUUCUGAAACUUGUGAACAUGUAUGCAUGGUUAAUGGUGUGAAUGAUUAUACUCACUGUUAUAAUGAGAAUCUCGAAAACAUAUCUGAAAAAUUUGCAGGUUGUAAGGAGUUAACGAAAACUGAAUCAUCUGAUACUUGCUCAUUUUGUUUUUCCAAGCCUGAUGAACUAGUUUUUCAUGAGACUAGUAGUAGUUUUCAAGAUGCUUAUAUAAGUGUGAAACAUAUGGAUAUUGGUCAGUUAAUUCAUAAUAAGAAAUUAGAACCAAGAACUGUUUGCUUAGAUCCUUUUUGCAAGUCAUGUAUUCUUGUGCUUAUUGACAUUGCCGCAUUGCUCCCUCCUAAUCUAAAACCCAAUUGGGAGUCUCCUAAUCAAAAUUAGUAAACAUUCUGACCUUAUUGUUUAUGGGAGUGAGUUAUUUAUGGAUUCACAUAUCUUUUUGGGUGUUUUUAGUGCUUGCAGGUUCAUAGUUGCAGCUGAACUUGUGUGUUGGGUUGAUCCCCAGCUUUUCAGGCUUUACAUAUAUGCUGGCAGGUUGCUGUUAUGCAUCAUUAUUCACUUUGUUUGAGAUUACUUGCUGCGCGCAAGUAGGGAGCAGACAUCAUUCGCUUUGUGGGAGUCAACCCAUCAGUUUUGUUCCCUUUACUCUAUCUUCUAUUUUUGUUUGCCUCUUGCAUAUCACAUUUUAGAAUUUCCCACCUUAACUCUAUGUUGGAUGACUCAAUUACAUUGAGGACAAUGUAAUGUUUAAGUGUUGGGGAGUGGUUAAGUAUAUAUAGAUUUUUGAUAAGCAAUCAAUUUCGUUAUAAAUUUUUAAAAAAAAAGACCAGCUGUUGAGCGGGUCUUAAAAAUUUUCUUUUGCACGACAUGACCAGUUGUUGAGCGGGUCAUUCUGAUUAUCAGUCUAGCUGUUUAGCAUACUUUUCUUUACCACUGUUUAGUGGUUCUGUCUAGCUGUUUAACAAACAUUUCUCAAUCACUGUUUAGUGAUUCCGUCUAGCUGUUUAGUAGACUUCUCUAAACCAUUGUUUAGUGGUUCGUCUCGCUAUUUAGCAGAUGUCUCUCCAUAUCCAGCUGUGUAGCGGAUAUAAUUUAUUCUUGUUUUGCUCGGGACUAGAAAAAUCUAAGUAUGGGGAAAUUUGAUAAGCACGAAAGUGCAAUUUUCUACUCCCAUAUUUACACUAGCUAGGUUUCGAUAUUUAGCUAAUAAUAUUGUUUUAAAACAUUCGUAAGAAUUACAAGCAAAACCCGACAACCGAGAGGAUAAUUAGUUAAAGUGGAAGUUUAAUUGGCGUUCGCGAUAACAUGGACAAUGUCAUUGCACAUGGCUACAUUUCAUCACGGCCCGGAAGUCUUCAGGCGAAGCAGAGAGUUGUCUUUGCUCGUUCGAGUUACUCAGGCCCAUUUGGAGUUCAAAGAGGGGGACGUGGCCCUUGCUGCGCCACAUUUCUGUGUGGAAUUAUUAGGGCAUCGAACAUCUUAUCCCUUUCUCUAUCAAAGCCAAAGAAGAUCACAUUUCAUUCAGCAGGUAAUAGCUGAGUUUUGGGUUUGUUUUGCAUUUAGUGAAUGAGAAAUGGAAGUGAGUGAGGAGAGAUCUGUGAAGACGAGAGAAUGGAGAAUUAGUGGCUCAAGUUAAGGAACUCAGGUCGUAUUUGACCCGAAUCUGUAGCUAACAAGAGAACAACUUGGAAGAACGGCGACAGGCUAGUGGAGACAGAAAUCAACGCCGGUAGUGGUGGUUUCUAUGAUGGGUUUCGACCAAAUUUUGGUGUUGGCUAAUGGUGGAUGUUGCAGCAGUUCUAAAGAUUAAAAUGGAGAUGAAUUUAGGGAUUUCAGUGGUGACGACGACAAGCCUUGUGUCUGGUGGUCAAAUUGUAGACGAUUGAGAAGUUAAAUCAGGAUGAAUUGAAGAUAACAACUGGUGAUGGGCCGAAUCUGUUGGAGUCGUGGGAAAGUGAAGACAAGGUACAUAUUUUGGGGUGUUCUUGAUUUGGUAUGAACUGAAUUUGAAGACGACACCAGCAAUAGUGAAUAUAGCAACAUCAAUGGGUUUGAUUGAGCUUGGGGGUAUGAAUUGCAUGGAGUUAAUGGUAGCUGUCUCUGAGAGUUGAUUAAAACUGAAAUUCAGAGUUUGAAUCGAACAGGGAUAAUGGAUACAAAGAUUGUGAAGCUUGGGUUCACAUUCAAUUUGAAAUUAUAGUGACAACAAUGGGUUUCUGGAUCGAAUUGGAAUUGGGGUUUUUAGAAGAAGUAUGAAAUUGGGUUGAGUUCGAGUAGCUCCAUGAGCUUUACAGUUGAAGACUAAGUGUCGCUGCCAUUGUUGUACGCUGAGAAUUCAGUGGUGUUGUCGCAGUCAGUGGAUAGUUGGUGAUUCAAUUGAACUUGGUAGAUUGAGAAUGGUGCAAUUUGGUAUUCCGAUAUGAUUUCACAUCAAUGAGGAGGCAAAUCUAGGUCUGGAAAUGAGAUCAACUUUGAAUUUUUCAACUGUGAAAUUUGCACAGCAACAUGGAAGUAUAAGUAUGUAUAAUGUCUGGAUUUGAUGUGGAGUAUGGCUCAGAUGGAGAAGGAAUUAUGGGCCAGCUGGACUUGCUCCGCCUGUAUCGUGCUGUGUGAUUAAGUGGGUGAACUGGUGGCAAUUGGUGGCCGAGACUGAGAAGGUUCACAAGACAAUAAUUGGUGGUCCAGUGAGCUGGUGCUGUAGUUGGUCUGGGAGGUGUUUAAGGGUCGAAAAUGAAUGGGACUGUGGCAAUACUUUAUGCAGUCAAGUGAGAUGGCUUCACAACACCUAUAUAUACAUAAGUUUGACACAGACUGGAGGAGACACGCCGUUUUUCAGGGAAGAAAUUAGGUUUAGCUCCAUUUUAUUGAUUUUACAUAUGAUGAGUUUAUUGAUCUUUAUAUCAUUUUCUAUGGCUUUAAACAAGAUUAUGUCUAACUAAACUCCUCAUUAGGGUGAAGGAUGAAAUUUUAGGUUAGGGUACUUGUGUUCUUAAACAAUGGUUUCAAAAAUAAGAUCUUAAUUCCAUGUU